rnacentral:rRNA from 1 species
UACGUAGGGGGCAAGCGUUGUCCGGAAUUACUGGGCGUAAAGCGCGUGUAGGCGGGACGGUUAGUCGGACGUGAAAGGCUGGGGCUCAACCCCAGAUCGCCGUUCGAAACUGCCGUUCUUGAGGGUCGAAGAGGAGAGUGGAAUUCCUGGUGUAGCGGUGAAAUGCGUAGAGAUCAGGAGGAACACCCAUGGCGAAGGCAGCCUUCUGGGCCAACACUGACGCUCGAUGCACGAAAGCGUGGGGAGCAAACAGG